GGGCAGCAGCCCCCGCAGCACCGAGUGGCCCCCGCGCGUCCGCCCCCCAAGCCUCGGGAGGUGCGCAAGAUUAAGCCGGUGGAGGUGGAGGAAAGCGGGGAGUCAGAGGCCGAGUCGGCGCCCGGGGAGGUGAUCCAGGCCGAGGUGACUGUCCACGCGGCGCUGGAGAAUGGCAGCGCCUUGGCCGCCACCGCCAGCCCAGCGCCCGAGGAGCAGAAGGCCCAAGCGGCCCCGGAGGUGGAGGCAGCGACGGUGGCGGCGCCAGAGAGGGGGGUGGGCAGCGGCCGGGCCCCGGACGUGGCCCCCGAGGAGGCAGAUGAGUCCAAGAAGGAGGACUUCUCGGAGGCAGACUUGGUGGACGUGAGCGCCUACAGCGGGCUCGGGGAGGACUCUGGGGGGAGUGCCCUGGAGGAGGACGAUGAGGAAGACGAGGAGGAUGGGGAGCCCCCCUACGAGCCCGAGUCGGGGUGCGUGGAGAUCCCUGGGCUCUCGGAGGAAGAGGACCCGGCCCCGAGCCGGAAGAUCCAUUUCAGCACGGCGCCCAUCCAA